rnacentral:lncRNA from 1 species
AAAUCUGUAAAUGUGUCUGUCUGAUGCAGGAGGUGCAGUGAUGUCUGGACUGGUGAUGUUAUGUCUGCUGCUUCUGCAGACUGGAGGAGCUCUUGGAUUUAAAAUAUGGAGGACAGACAUUCUGAGUCAUGAAGGGAUCACAGAGAGAGCCAUUCUAAACAUCACAGUGCAGGUGUGCCAGGCUGUGGCUCGGGCUGCAGGCAAAGACUUCACAUUUCCGUCGCAACCUUUCACUGCUCGAUCCGUUGCUACUGCUUGUGGAGCACCACAGUCGUUGAAGGGUUUUCGUGAAGCCAUCAGCCUGAUACAGACAAACAAUCGGCGAGUGGACAUUAAUCAUUUCUUCCAAGGACGUUACCACUUCGAUGGUGAAGAGUUCACAGCAGGAAAGAAAAUCAUCACAAGAGGACUGGAAGUUGUGAAGGCCAGCAACAGAAGACAGAACUAUGAGACGGCAAGAGAAAAACUGGGACAGAUAUUACACACCUUACAGGACUUCUACAGUCAUAGUAACUGGGUGGAAAUGGAGAACAACUCGCCAUACAGCAAACUCCUUGAUCCAGGAAUCGAUGUUGAAAAUGUAGCAGGUAAAAAUAUAUAUUAUUACAUAUUGUUUUUGUGCUUUAUUACUGUCAUCCAUAACAACAAAGUUCAAUCUAAUUCACAGCUAAAAGCAGAGCAACCUGUCGCAGCUGCGAUGGAAGCGACUGCAAAAACAACAUCCUGGAGGAUAUUCUGA